UACGUAGGGUCCGAGCGUUGUCCGGAAUUACUGGGCGUAAAGAGCUCGUAGGUGGUUUGUCGCGUUGUCCGUGAAGACUCACAGCUUAACUGUGGGCGUGCGGGCGAUACGGGCAGACUGGAGUACUGCAGGGGAGACUGGAAUUCCUGGUGUAGCGGUGGAAUGCGCAGAUAUCAGGAGGAACACCGGUGGCGAAGGCGGGUCUCUGGGCAGUAACUGACGCUGAGGAGCGAAAGCGUGGGGAGCGAACAGG
rnacentral:rRNA from 1 species